rnacentral:lncRNA from 1 species
CCAGGGUUAUAGCAUGUGGAUGCAAGUUGGAAGAAGAAUGAGGAACUUUAAUUUUUUUUUUCAGGGUUCUGCUGUAUUGUAGUAUGCUCCAUGGAGCUACACAAGGCUUUACCCAACUACUACAGCAAGCCAUCACAAGAUUAAGAAUAAAAAGAAACCUUCACCUCCAAGUUUUCUUGCUUUUGUCAGUUAAUACUAGUAGCAUGCGAACUUUAAAAGAUAUACUUAGCAUAUUUCAGGCCUGGGUUUUCUUAAGCCCUAGUGAUAUUCAGAAAGCCAUGUGUCCGUUGUCUCAGAGAACAUGCUCACCGUGUACCGCAGAGGAAGCACCAGCACAGCAGAGAACACGAUUGUUCCCUACUGCAUCUCAGUCAUAGCAUCAAGUUAUAUGUGGUCACAGAAGGCUACUUGGUCAUUUACACUCUGAAUUCAGAAACUGGAAGAGUUUAAGAAAACAUGCAAAAUGCUGAGGAUACAUGUAAGUGAAAUAUUUAAUGUCCAUCAUUCAUAAAAGUUACAUUGUUUACAUAGGGUUCAUUAGUAUAUAAUAAAAAUGUCAUCUUAAUGAAAGAUUUUCUGGCA